AGUUGAUCAUGGCUCAGGAUGAACGCUAGCUACAGGCUUAACACAUGCAAGUCGAGGGGCAGCAUAACGAAAGCUUGCUUUGUUGAUGGCGACCGGCGCACGGGUGAGUAACGCGUAUCCAACCUUCCCCAUAGUAGAGAAUAGCCCGGCGAAAGUCGGAUUAAUGCUCUAUGUUGUAUCAUGAGGACAUCUGAAUAAUACCAAAGGUUCACCGCUAUGGGGGUGGGGAUGCGUCUGAUUAGGUUGUUGGCGGGGUAACGGCCCACCAAGCCCACGAUCAGUAGGGGUUCUGAGAGGAAGGUCCCCCACAUUGGAACUGAGACACGGUCCAAACUCCUACGGGAGGCAGCAGUGAGGAAUAUUGGUCAAUGGACGGAAGUCUGAACCAGCCAAGUAGCGUGCAGGAUGACGGCCCUAUGGGUUGUAAACUGCUUUUAUACAGGGAUAAAGUGAGGGACGUGUCCCUUUUUGUAGGUACUGUAUGAAUAAGGACCGGCUAAUUCCGUGCCAGCAGCCGC
rnacentral:rRNA from 1 species